rnacentral:rRNA from 1 species
CAGCGCCACGAGUGGUAACCACGUUUAUUGGGCCUAAAGCGUCCGUAGCCGGUUUGAUAAAUCUUUUGUGAAAUUGUACAGCUUAACUGUACAGCGUGCAAGAGACACUGUCAAACUUGAGACCGGGAGGAGUCAGAAGUAUUCCAGAGGGAGCGGUAAAAUGUUAUAAUCUCUGGAGGACUACCUGUGGCGAAGGCGUCUGACCAGAACGGGUCUGACGGUGAGGGACGAAAGCCAGGGGAGCGAACCGGAUUAGAUACCCGAGUAGUCC